AACGAACGCUGGCGGCAUGCCUAACACAUGCAAGUCGAACGAGACCUUCGGGUCUAGUGGCGCACGGGUGCGUAACGCGUGGGAACCUGCCCUUAGGUUCGGAAUAACUCCCCGAAAGGGGUGCUAAUACCGGAUAAUGUCUUCGGACCAAAGAUUUAUCGCCUUUGGAUGGGCCCGCGUUGGAUUAGCUAGUUGGUAGGGUAAAAGCCUACCAAGGCGACGAUCCAUAGCUGGUCUGAGAGGAUGAUCAGCCACACUGGGACUGAGACACGGCCCAGACUCCUACGGGAAGCAGCAGUGGGGAAUAUUGGACAAUGGGCGAAAGCCUGAUCCAGCAAUGCCGCGUGAGUGAUGAAGGCCUUAGGAUUGUAAAGCUCUUUUACCCGGGAUGAUAAUGACAGUACCGGGAGAAUAAGCUCCGGCUAACUCCGUG
rnacentral:rRNA from 1 species